AUUGAACGCUGGCGGCAGGCCUAACACAUGCAAGUCGAGCGCGAAAGUUCUUCGGAAUGAGUAAAGCGGCGGACGGGUGAGUAAUACAUGGGAAUCUGCCUGGUAGUGGGGGACAACAUUUCGAAAGGAACGCUAAUACCGCAUACGCCCUACGGGGAAAGGGGGGAGUCGCAAGACCUCUCGCUAUCAGAUGAGCGCCC
rnacentral:rRNA from 1 species